GCGUCGACGGGUAGCCGGCCUGAGAGGGUGACCGGCCACACUGGGACUGAGACACGGCCCAGACUCCUACGGGAGGCAGCAGUGGGGAAUAUUGCACAAUGGGCGCAAGCCUGAUGCAGCAACGCCGCGUGAGGGAUGACGGCCUUCGGGUUGUAAACCUCUUUUAGCAGGGAAGAAGCGAAAGUGACGGUACCUGCAGAAAAAGCGCCGGCUAACUACGUGCCAGCAGCCGCGGUAAUACGUAGGGCGCAAGCGUUAUCCGGAAUUAUUGGGCGUAAAGAGCUCGUAGGCGGUUUGUCGCGUCUGCUGUGAAAUCCGGAGGCUCAACCUCCGGCCUGCAGUGGGUACGGGCAGACUAGAGUGCGGUAGGGGAGAUUGGAAUUCCUGGUGUAGCGGUGGAAUGCGCAGAUAUCAGGAGGAACACCGAUGGCGAAGGCAGAUCUCUGGGCCGUAACUGACGCUGAGGAGCGAAAGGGUGGGGAGCAAACAGGCUUAGAUACCCUGGUAGUCCACCCCGUAAACGUUGGGAACUAGUUGUGGGGUCCAUUCCACGGAUUCCGUGACGCAGCUAACGCAUUAAGUUCCCCGCCUGGGGAGUACGGCCGCAAGGCUAAAACUCAAAGGAAUUGACGGGGACCCGCACAAGCGGCGGAGCAUGCGGAUUAAUUCGAUGCAACGCGAAGAACCUUACCAAGGCUUGACAUAUACGAGAACGGGCCAGAAAUGGUCAACUCUUUGGACACUCGUAAACAGGUGGUGCAUGGUUGUCGUCAGCUCGUGUCGUGAGAUGUUGGGUUAAGUCCCGCAACGAGCGCAACCCUCGUUCUAUGUUGCCAGCACGUAAUGGUGGGAACUCAUGGGAUACUGCCGGGGUCAACUCGGAGGAAGGUGGGGAUGACGUCAAAUCAUCAUGCCCCUUAUGUCUUGGGCUUCACGCAUGCUACAAUGGCCGGUACAAAGGGCUGCAAUACCGCGAGGUGGAGCGAAUCCCAAAAAGCCGGUCCCAGUUCGGAUUGAGGUCUGCAACUCGACCUCAUGAAGUCGGAGUCGCUAGUAAUCGCAGAUCAGCAACGCUGCGGUGAAUACGUUCCCGGGUCUUGUACACACCGCCCGUCAAGUCAUGAAAGUCGGUAACACCUGAAGCCGGUGGCCUAACCCUUGUGGAGGGA
rnacentral:rRNA from 1 species